rnacentral:rRNA from 1 species
UCAGAACGAACGCUGGCGGCGCGUCUUAAGCAUGCAAGUCGAACGGCAAGAGGUAGCAAUACCUCCUAGAGUGGCGGACUGGUGAGUAACACGUGGGUGACAUACCCUUCAGAUGGGGAUAGCUAUUAGAAAUAGUAGAUAAUACCGAAUACGAGCACAGGGGUUAGAGAUCUGUGAGGAAAGGAGCUAAGGCUCCGCUGAAGGAAUGGCCUGCGGCCCAUUAGCUAGUUGGUGAGGUAAGAGCCCACCAAGGCGAUGAUGGGUAUCCGGCCUUAGAGGGUGAACGGACACAUUGGGACUGAGAUACGGCCCAGACUCCUACGGGAGGCAGCAGCUAAGAAUAUUCCGCAAUGGACGAAAGUCUGACGGAGCGACGCCGCGUGGAUGAAGAAGGCCGGAAGGUUGUAAAAUCCUUUUGAAACUGAAGAAUAAGCGUUGUAGGGAAUGACAGCGUGGUGACAGUAGGUUUUGAAUAAGCAACGGCUAAUUACGUGCCAGCCGCUGC